CAAAAUGCAGGGAACGGAAGAGUAAUCUUAAGUGGGUCAAGAGAUCUGGCGGUUGGUGCGAGCCAGACGAAGCAAGCGAUGAAGAUGGUCCGGGAGCAGUUAUUCUGAACACGUCUAGGAAUAAACGUUCAUCCGCGUUAAGGAUUUGAGCGCAUACGCAAGUAUGAAUAAAGGUGGUACCGCGAGCAAAUCGUCCUUUAC
rnacentral:ncRNA from 1 species